GACGAACGCUGGCGGCGUGCUUAACACAUGCAAGUCGAACGGAAAGGCCCUGCUUUUGUGGGGUGCUCGAGUGGCGAACGGGUGAGUAACACUUGAGUAACCUGCCCUUGACUUUGGGAUAACUUCAGGAAACUGGGUCUAAUACCGGAUAGGAGCUCCUGCUUCAUGGUGGGGGUUGGAUAGUUUCGGCGGUUGGGGAUGGACUCGCGGCUUAUCAGCUUGUUGGUGGGGUAGUGGCUUACCAAGGCUUUGACGGGUAGCCGGCCUGAGAGGGUGACCGGCCACAUUGGGACUGAGAUACGGCACAGACUACUACGGGAGGCAGCAGUGGGGAAUAUUGCACAAUGGGCGGAAGCCUGAUGCAGCAACGCCGCGUGCGGGAUGACGGCCUUCGGGUUGUAAACCGCUUUCGCCUGUGACGAAGCGUGAGUGACGGUAAUGGGUAAAGAAGCACCGGCUAACUACGUG
rnacentral:rRNA from 1 species